GCUUCAUUGGGCCUCCGGCAUCAAGUGGCACGCCGUCUGGUGGGCUGUGCCGGUGGCGCGCAACACCGGGCGUUCGACUCGGCAGCGUGGCA
rnacentral:tRNA from 1 species